UACGUAGGGGGCAAGCGUUGUCCGGAUUUAUUGGGCGUAAAGAGCGUGUAGGCGGCCAGACAGGUCCGUUGUGAAAACUGGAGGCUCAACCUCCAGACGUCGAUGGAAACCGUCUGGCUAGAGUCCGGAAGAGGAGAGUGGAAUUCCUGGUGUAGCGGUGAAAUGCGCAGAUAUCAGGAAGAACACCCGUGGCGAAAGCGGCUCUCUGGGACGGUACUGACG
rnacentral:rRNA from 1 species